GGUGGAGGAGACACUGAAGCGACUUCAGAGCCAGAAAGGAGUACAAGGAAUCAUCGUGGUGAAUACGGAAGGAAUUCCCAUCAAGAGUACCAUGGACAAUCCCACCACCACACAGUAUGCCAACCUCAUCCACAACUUUAUCUUGAAGGCAAGGAGCACUGUGCGAGAAAUUGACCCCCAGAAUGACCUCACUUUCCUUCGAAUCUGCUCCAAGAAAAAUGAAAUUAUGGUUGCACCAGAUAAAGACUAUUUCCUGAUUGUGAUUCAGAAUCCAACCGAAUAAGCCAACUUUUCUGGCUCCCUGUAUCAUUCCUUAAUGUAAUGCCCCA